GCGGAAGAUGUAACGGGGCUAAACCAUGCACCGAAGCUGCGGCAGCGACGCUGAUGCGUUGUUGGGUAGGGGAGCGUUCUGUAAGCCUGUGAAGGUGGCCUGUGAGGGUUGCUGGAGGUAUCAGAAGUGCGAAUGCUGACAUAAGUAACGAUAAAGCGGGUGAAAAGCCCGCUCGCCGGAAGACCAAGGGUUCCUGUCCAACGUUAAUCGGGGCAGGGUGAGUCGACCCCUAAGGCGAGGCCGAAAGGCGUAGUCGAUGGGAAACGGGUUAAUAUUCCCGUACUUGGUGUUACUGCGAAGGGGGGACGGAGAAGGCUAUGUUGGCCGGGCGACGGUUGUCCCGGUUUAAGCGUGUAGGUGUGUGUUCCAGGUAAAUCCGGUUCACUUUAACACUGAGGCGUGAUGACGAGGCACUACGGUGCUGAAGCAACAAAUGCCCUGCUUCCAGGAAAAGCCUCUAAGCAUCAGGUAACAUCAAAUCGUACCCCAAACCGACACAGGUGGUCAGGUAGAGAAUACCAAGGCGCUUGAGAGAACUCGGGUGAAGGAACUAGGCAAAAUGGUGCCGUAACUUCGGGAGAAGGCACGCUGACACGUAGGUGAAGUGAUUUACUCAUGGAGCUGAAGUCAGUCGAAGAUACCAGCUGGCUGCAACUGUUUAUUAAAAACACAGCACUGUGCAAACACGAAAGUGGACGUAUACGGUGUGACGCCUGCCCGGUGCCGGAAGGUUAAUUGAUGGGGUCAGCGCAAGCGAAGCUCCUGAUCGAAGCCCCGGUAAACGGCGGCCGUAACUAUAACGGUCCUAAGGUAGCGAAAUUCCUUGUCGGGUAAGUUCCGACCUGCACGAAUGGCGUAAUGAUGGCCAGGCUGUCUCCACCCGAGACUCAGUGAAAUUGAACUCGCUGUGAAGAUGCAGUGUACCCGCGGCAAGACGGAAAGACCCCGUGAACCUUUACUAUAGCUUGACACUGAACAUUGAGCCUUGAUGUGUAGGAUAGGUGGGAGGCUUUGAAGUGUGGACGCCAGUCUGCAUGGAGCCGACCUUGAAAUACCACCCUUUAAUGUUUGAUGUUCUAACGUGGACCCGUAAUCCGGGUUGCGGACAGUGUCUGGUGGGUAGUUUGACUGGGGCGGUCUCCUCCUAAAGAGUAACGGAGGAGCACGAAGGUUGGCUAAUCCUGGUCGGACAUCAGGAGGUUAGUGCAAUGGCAUAAGCCAGCUUGACUGCGAGCGUGACGGCGCGAGCAGGUGCGAAAGCAGGUCAUAGUGAUCCGGUGGUUCUGAAUGGAAGGGCCAUCGCUCAACGGAUAAAAGGUACUCCGGGGAUAACAGGCUGAUACCGCCCAAGAGUUCAUAUCGACGGCGGUGUUUGGCACCUCGAUGUCGGCUCAUCACAUCCUGGGGCUGAAGUAGGUCCCAAGGGUAUGGCUGUUCGCCAUUUAAAGUGGUACGCGAGCUGGGUUUAGAACGUCGUGAGACAGUUCGGUCCCUAUCUGCCGUGGGCGCUGGAGAACUGAGGGGGGCUGCUCCUAGUACGAGAGGACCGGAGUGGACGCAUCACUGGUGUUCGGGUUGUCAUGCCAAUGGCACUGCCCGGUAGCUAAAUGCGGAAGAGAUAAGUGCUGAAAGCAUCUAAGCACGAAACUUGCCCCGA
rnacentral:rRNA from 1 species